GACGAACCGUCCAAACGUUGUUCGGAAUCACUGGGCUUAAAGGGCGCGUAGGCGGGCUGCCAAGUCCGGGGUGAAAUCCUCCCGCUUAACGGGAGAACUGCCUCGGAUACUGGAAGUCUCGAGGAGGGUAGGGGCACGCGGAACUGUGGGUGGAGCGGUGAAAUGCGUUGAUAUCCAUAGGAACUCCGGUGGCGAAGGCGGCAUACUGGACCACCACUGACGCUGAGGCGCGAAAGCCAGGGGAGCAAACGGG
rnacentral:rRNA from 1 species